rnacentral:tRNA from 1 species
CGCAAAAUGGCUGAGUUAUAGGCGGUAGAUUGUAGAUCUUUUUACGGGAUGGAUUUUGUUCUCUUUUGUGA